GGCUGGUCUCGCGAGAGCUGACUUCAAGUGAGAUUUAAAAAAAAAACUCACGGAGAACAGGAGGGAAAACAUACACACGGAAGUAUCUGGAGAAAGAAAGUGAUUGAGGCGUGGUGGUUGGGCUAUUUCACCACCACGCUGAGAGAGAUUGAGCUACAGAACAGCAGGGGAGAUUUGCUGUGUUCCAGGUGUGUGUGUGUGUUCAUGCACAGGUCAACCACAGGAGUGGAAGAGCGAGAGCUAGUACUGUUGUCUAUAUCACUACCAUAUUUGUACGUAUUGAUUUUGUUUCACAACAUUUCUGCUUCUUCUGUGAACUACCAACCUCAAUCCUGUCACAUUAAUGCUGAGUCUAAUGCCAUUAACUCAGUCGGGGAAUAAAGU